GUUAUAGAUUCAGGUAACAAUUUAUGAGGCGUUUGCUUUUUUCUUUGGGUGUUAGAUCUGGGUGGGGUUGAACUUCGUAAUUCAAAUUUAGCUUAUUUAAUAAUAUGAUAAUAUGAUACGUAUUUACUUGGUCUAAUUUCUGAUAAAAUUAUGCACUCUAAUUUCUGAUAAUAAUAUGAUAUUACUCUUUGUAAAAGAAUUAUGCAUUCCUUCGUUGCUAGCAUACAAAGCAAAAUGAGUGAAUUUACACCCUAAAAUAUGUGUGUGUACAUCGGCAUGAAGUAAAAUGACUUGCAUUGAGAAAUGGAGGGAGUAAUUUGUUUACUUUUUUGGAUUUAGACAGACCAAAUCUCUAAAAUUGAUUCAAAUUGAGGGAAGGAGGGAGUAGUUUGCUUAUUUUUUGGUUUAUGCAGACCAAGUCUGGAAUUACUCGCAUAAAAUGGAUGUAUUUAGGAACCAAGGCAGUUGUUUGGUUAUUUUUUUUUAAUGUACACAGACAAGUUUUGGUGUGUUUGUGUGUGACUUGAUGUGUAUUAUUUGCGAACGGACAGAAUAUUAUGGAGUAAAUAUGCUAUUUGUGCUGAUAGCUGUUGUGGAUCUUAUCUCUGUCUGGAGAGAUUCUCUGUGGAUACUGAUCGUAUGUUCAGAUCCCGGAUGAAAGGUGGUUCAAUCCCACCAAGGUUCUUUAGCGGUCUAAUAUUUGAGCACUUCAAUCUGAUUGUUUGGUUUACUUUAUGUUAUGGUUGUGAAAAUAUUAUUGGUAGUUUUUGAAUCUUUUGUUUUUGUGUUGCAGGUUAUCGUACUUUAGAAAUAACAAGGUAUUGGGGGAGUAGGGCGAAAAAAAGCCCUCAAACAGCUAGUACAAUCUAUUGGGGGAUUCCAAUGAAACAUCCCAACUCUCCCACGUACUAUGGAAAUACGACCAGACUGCAAAUGCUAUGGCCCACAAACUGAAUCAUCAACUUGUCUCUAAUCGUAAGUGUUGGACGGGGAAUUCAUCAAGGUUCCUUUAAAUAUGAUUACGAAGUCCAUUGUGCCGUUGCCAACCAUUGGUGGAGAGAGAACAUCACAUGCAAAUGGGACAUGUAGUUCCAUAGUAUUGUCACAUUGACAAAUGGGACAUGUUGGUUAUGUCAACAAACGGGACAUGUAGGUCAGAUUGAGUACUUUCUCCCUUCAGUACUUUUUAGCCAACAUGUCCAAAGUCAAAGUAUCUCUAUUUUGAUUUCAUAGUAUUGUUGAUAUUAAUAUUUUUUAAUAUAAAUUGGUUGAACUUUAUCUUUUACGUGGAGUAAAAAGGAUGGGAGAGAGUAAGAAAGCAGCACACCUGUAAUUAAAUCAUUGAGAGCCCAGUAACCCACUUAGAGGGUUUUAUUGUUAACCUCUUCUAUUGUAUACCUCUUGGUCUGUUGGACAUAUAUUUAACUGAAUCAUUUGAAUAUGAAAUGGUUCAAAAGACUAGAUCCAUAUUAGUUGUUGCUGGUCUAGUAAAUAAUAAUACUAGAGUAGGAGGACUUCGUUUUUUCUUGUUUUUUUGACCUUUUCUCUACUAUCUACGGUUAAAAAUUACGUGGUGGGUUUACAACUGCUGGGAUAGGUCGGUUUGCAAGAAGUAUCUCCACAUGGUCCAACCGCUUAUCUCGUGGGUUCCUUCAUGUGGUCUUGCCACCGCCACGGGCCUCCUCCUGUCACCGCUAAUUUGCGACGGACGAGCACUGGCUUGGCUCAUCUUGCUUCUACCUUAGAAAUCUAAGGAGAAAAUUCUCCCUGCCACAUAGGGCUGGUCGAUCAGGGAGAUGCAACCCUGCACGUCAUGGUUUCCGGCGGCGAAAUCAUCCACAUGGGAGAUGCUGGGAUGCGGUCGUUGGUCCAGUAGGAGGUCACAUGAUUGGGUGAUGUGUUGGGAUUUCCCUUUUUUCUUCAUCAGUACAGGAAGAUUGCCUUGCUAAGGAGGUCUCCUAUACAUGAGUUCUGUGAGAAGGCAAUCAGACGAGGAGUGAUUAUUUUGGUUAUUGCUGUAAGACAAAUGAUCUUUUGGUUACCGAUAUGGCGUACUCCAAUUUUUUAUUUGCUUUUGUUACAAGUGAAAAAAUUAUACGAAGUUGAUGCAUUCAUAUAAUUAUCUGUUCUACAUUACGGUGAGGCCUAAUCAUGUGUUAUGUUAUGGUGUCCAAAGUAGAAUAUAUUCAAGAGGCUGGGCUGACCUAUUCUGAUAGUCUACAUAUUAGGUCACUCCCGUCUUCCAUAUAAAUAUUAACAACUUAUCGAGGAUGUAGAAAAUGGAAGCAUCUUUGACACAAACCAGCCCUGCAAGUUUACUUUAUUUUCUAACAGUUCGAUCGUGUUGGAUGCUCCUGUUGUUUUUGUUGUUUCCCUCCUCUUGGCUAAUGUUUAAUUGAUUUGCUGUCUUUUUCCAGGUGUGGUAUGUUAAGUUUCAGAAAUGGGGGCUGCCACACACUCAUGCUCAUAUUUCACCGGCCCUGUUUUUCCUUGCCACCAUUGGAUUUGAAGUAACAAUUAGUUAGUGGUGUUCUUCAUGUUACUGUUAUCUCUAUGUAUUCUUCUUUUUGAAACAAUCCUUUUAGAAUCUGGUAUGUGAUCUUGCUUUAUUAGAUAUUGGCAAUUUGCAUUGCCAUUUAGCUGUUUUGACUAUGCAGUAGCGCAAAGUAGAAAUUGCUUUUCAUGAUGUUUCGUGGUAGGUGUAUUUUGUUCCUUUCAAAAAAAUUAGUUCUAAAAAAUUUAGAUAUGUCAUGUUAAACAUGGUUAAAGUGAAAUGCAUUAUCCAGAAGCGAAGAAUUUAUUAUGCAGCUGCAGUGAUAUAAUAAUGUUGGCCACCCUAACCGUACUUUUUCUGUGGGUGCUCAGUUCAUCUGGAGUGAAUGACUAUGGAUAUACUUGGCUUUAGAAAGAUAUUUUUGGUAUAAUAUUUGAUUUAAUUUCUCUAGGUAUUGAUGCCAUUAUCAGUACGGAUGCCUUUAGUGGCGUAUAUCAGCUGGUUCUUUAUUAUUCUUUGCUUCUUUUGAAAUAUGGCAACCUUCUACUCAUUCCUCGCCAUGGUUCUUGACGGCAUCACCUAAACUUGCAUUUGUGAUGACCAGAGUAGGUGUUUUUCCUAUAACUUGGUGUAUUUUAAAAAUGCUCAAGGACAACUGAACCAUGGUGUAAAAUUUUAUGGCAUGAAUUAUAUUUUUUACAAUAGGGAAAUUUCAAACUUUUUCCUUUUUGUUACUUCUGAACUUUCAUGUUAUUUCUCUCGCUAUCCAGUUCAUGAAUUCCAAAAACAAUGUCUGAAAACUACUCUGCUGGUUCAGAACAUCAAAGGAGUUACCUGACUUGAAA